CCCUUAGAUGUCCGGGGCUGCACGCGCGCUACACUGAAUGAAUCAGCGUGCUAGAAAACCUUGUUUGACAUGGCUAGGUAACCCAUUGAAAAUCAUUCGUGAUUGGGAUCGGGACUUGCAAAUGUGUCCCUUGAACGAGGAAUUCCCAGUAAGUGCGGGUCAUCAGCUCGCGUUGAUUACGUCCCUGCCCUUUGUACACACCGCCCGUCGCUCCUACCGAUUGAAUGUUCCGAUGAAUACCAUGGACUGAGAGUAUGAAUGGGUUCGCUUAUUUCUGCUUCUCGGGAAGUGGAGUAAAUCUUAACAUUUAGAGGAAGGAGAAGUCGUAACA
rnacentral:rRNA from 1 species